UGGCAUUACAGUUUGAACCGAACCUUUUCCAAAGCUUUUAGUUCCGACCACAAUUCCUCUUCUAUGAUCCUUUAAAGCUGCAGCUACAAUUUCGGAUGCUGAUGCGGAACCGCCGUUAAUAAGAACAACAAUUGGUUUACCGUCGAUUAAGUCACCUGGUGUAGCAUUAUAUCUGUCGCCCUCUUCAGGGUCUCUACCUCUUGUAGAAACAAUCUCACCCUUAUCCAGAAAAGCAUCCGACACACGUAUUGCCUGGGACAGCAGACCACCUGGAUUAUUACGCA
rnacentral:ncRNA from 1 species